UACGAAGGGGGGCUAGCGUUGCUCGGAAUCACUGGGCGUAAAGGGUGCGUAGGCGGGUUUUAAGUCAGAGGUGAAAUCCUGGAGCUCAACUCCAGAACUGCCUUUGAUACUGAAAGUCUUGAGUAUGGGAGAGGUGAGUGGAACUGCGAGUGUAGAGGUGAAAUUCGUAGAUAUUCGCAAGAACACCAGUGGCGAAGGCGGCUCACUGGCCCAUAACUGACGCUGAGGCACGAAAGCGUGGGGAGCAAACAGG
rnacentral:rRNA from 1 species